GUGUCAGUUACRGCCCAGUAGGACGCUUUCGCCACUGGUGUUCUUCCCGAUAUCUACGCAUUUCACCGCUACACCGGGAAUUCCYCCUACCCCUACUGUACUCUAGUCCAACAGUUUCCAACGCCGUUAUGGAGUUAAGCUCCASGCUUUGACACCAGACUUGUUAAWCCACCUACRKACGCUUUACGCCCAAUAAUUCCGGAUAACGCUUGCAUCCUCCGUCUUACCGCGGCUGCUGGCACAGAGUUAUCCGAUGCUGAUUCCUCAGGUACCGUCAAAAUCUCCCCAA
rnacentral:rRNA from 1 species